GGCCAGGCUGCUGGCGAAGGGGGCAGGCAGGGCGCUGGGGUGCUGCAGAUCCUCAAUGGAUCUGCUCCAGGGCUUCGGCUUCUCUAGCGCGCCGUCCUCGCCGCCUUCCAGGCCCUCAAAAUCAAACCUGGGUGGGAGACGGGCGCAGACAGCGCACGGCUUCGUGGCGGAGCRGCGCAGCCCCCGGAGCAAGCGCGGAAGCGGAGCGCGGCAGCGGCAGGCGCGAGAGCAGCCCCGGGCCCGGCCCGACCCGCGUCCCGCGGGCACCGAGCGCCUACUCACAUGACGGCGCACUGGGCGAAGGACAGGUAGUUCACCAGCACGUCCAGGCCCUUGUUCUCGUCGUUGAGGAACUCGCGCACCCACCUGCGGCAGGGCAGGGAGCCGGGCGUCAGCGCCGGGGGCGCCCACUGGACCCCCCCCCCUCCGGUGAUGGGGACGCGGAGGGGACGGCGGUGGCAGCCCGGCAGCCGUUGCGGCUAUCGCCCGCACCAACAUUGUCUGGGCUUUAUCUGCCGGCUGCAGAGACGGGAGGGCUCGGCGCAGGGCGGGACGCUCUCCCUUGUCCCCGCACCUCCGAAAACCCCCGGGACCGUCCCCGCGUCCCCUGGUCCCGGGCACCCCGGCGGGAGGCGGCCGCAGUUCCCCCAGGGGCUGCCGUGACAGUGUCACGGUGCACGUGCAAGGGCCCGAUUCAGUGCAAGGGAGGCCCACCCGUGACGUGCUCAGGGUGCAAACAGGGGGKGCUUGGCCCUGGGAUGCAGCCGUGUGCACGGGGAAAGGUGCACGAGGUGCACGAGGCACAGGGAAACGGGGCUGCAUGCACGAGGUGUGAGCGCACAGGACGUGCGCACACAGCAAGAGAGCUGCAUGUGCAUGGGGAGAGAGGGCUGCAUGCGCACAGGAUGCAUGCGCACAGGGCAAGGGGGCUGCGUGCACGGGGUGCGCGUGCGCAGGACGCGUGUGCACAGGGAAAAGGGGCUAACGUGCACACAGGGCAAGGGGGCUGCGUGCAGGGGGUGCGCGUGCACGGGGGGAGCGGGCCGCGCGUGCAAGGGAUGCAUGCACGAAGGGAGAGGGGGCUGCACACAGGGGCUGCACGUGCACGGAGCGCUCGUGCCCAAGGAGAGGGGCCGCGUGCGUGGGAUGCACGGACACAGGGACGCAGGCCCGUGCCGGGACGCGCGUGCCCGGUCGGCAGGCGCGCGCUGC
rnacentral:lncRNA from 1 species